rnacentral:rRNA from 1 species
AGCCAAGCCGAGCGGUAGAGUUCCUUCGGGAACUUGAGAGCGGCGUACGGGUGCGUAACACGUGUGCAACCUACCUUUAUCUGGGGGAUAGCCUUUCGAAAGGAAGAUUAAUACCCCAUAAUAUAUUGAGUGGCAUCACUUAAUAUUGAAAACUCCGGUGGAUAGAGAUGGGCACGCGCAAGAUUAGAUAGUUGGUGAGGUAACGGCUCACCAAGUCAAUGAUCUUUAGGGGUCCUGAGAGGGAGAUCCCCCACACUGGUACUGAGACACGGACCAGACUCCUACGGGAGGCAGCAGUGAGGAAUAUUGGACAAUGGGUGAAAGCCUGAUCCAGCCAUCCCGCGUGAAGGAUGACGGUCCUAUGGAUUGUAAACUUCUUUUGUACAGGGAUAAACCUACUCUCGUGAGGGUAGCUGAAGGUACUGUACGAAUAAGCACCGGCUAACUCCGUGCCAGCAGCCGCGGUAAUACGGAGGGUGCAAGCGUUAUCCGGAUUUAUUGGGUUUAAAGGGUCCGUAGGCGGACCCGUAAGUCAGUGGUGAAAUCUCAUAGCUUAACUAUGAAACUGCCAUUGAUACUGCGGGUCUUGAGUAAAUUUGAAGUGGCUGGAAUAAGUAGUGUAGCGGUGAAAUGCAUAGAUAUUACUUAGAACACCAAUUGCGAAGGCAGGUCACUAAGAUUUAACUGACGCUGAUGGACGAAAGCGUGGGUAGCGAACAGGAUUAGAUACCCUGGUAGUCCACGCCGUAAACGAUGCUAACUCGUUUUUGGAUUUUCGGAUUCAGAGACCAAGCGAAAGUGAUAAGUUAGCCACCUGGGGAGUACGUUCGCAAGAAUGAAACUCAAAGGAAUUGACGGGGGCCCGCACAAGCGGUGGAUUAUGUGGUUUAAUUCGAUGAUACGCGAGGAACCUUACCAAGACUUAAAUGGGAAUUGACAGAUUUAGAAAUAGAUCCUCCUUCGGGCAAUUUUCAAGGUGCUGCAUGGUUGUCGUCAGCUCGUGCCGUGAGGUGUAGGUUAGUCCUGCAACGAGCGCAACCCUGUCACUAGUGCUAGCAUUCAGUUGAGGACUCUAGUGAAGACUGCCUACGCAAGUAGAGAGAAGUGGGGGGAUGACGUCGAAUCAUCCACGGCCCUUUAGUCGUGGUCCACCCCUCGUAUAGAUGGGCGGUAACAAAGGGGAGUUGCACGCGCAAGUGUAUGCGAUUCAAAGAGCGCGGGUCAAUCUCGAAUUGGACAUCGCGCCACUCGAUCUCAUAGUAGUAGCUGCGAGAGUCUGCACAUCAUA